GCUUCUAAAGGAUAAUAGAAAUCCAUUGGUCUUAGACUCCAAAUAUCUUGGUGCAAAUCCAUGUAUAAGCU
rnacentral:tRNA from 1 species